GGUUCCCUGGGGUGUUCGUGAUUAACCCAUCAGCCCGCCGAGCCAACAGCGAGACCUUUGGGGGGCUCCUCUCCUGCCGGAGGCACACUCCCGCAGGGGAGAAGCCGUACGGCAGGAUGAGCCGCCCACGUACAGGGAGGGGUCUCGAGCGGGCCGGUUAACACGGCACCCCGGGGUCUAU
rnacentral:other from 1 species